rnacentral:misc_RNA from 1 species
AGGCAUUUCUCGACGAAUUGUCUCACCUCAGGAUCCUUGACCUUGGACAAAGCCUCAGGUUUCAUCCCUCGAGUAACCUUCAUGUAUAUUUGUGCGGGAUGGGUGCAUUCGCUAUACGGGUACUCAGAGGUAACCAUUUCUAACACACACAUCCCGAACGAGUAUAUGUCUACCAGUUCAUUGUACUCCUCUUCGUAAACCUCGGGCG